rnacentral:lncRNA from 10 species
AGUUGAACCGCUCGCGAGGAGGGUUGCUAGUGGAGAAGCAACCUUGGCCAUGGACCAGCCGGCUGGCCUGCAGGUGGACUACGUCUUCCGGGGUGUGGAGCAUGCCGUGCGGGUGAUGGUUUCUGGGCAGGUGCUGGAGCUGGAGGUGGAGGACCGGAUGACGGCUGACCAGUGGCGGGGCGAGUUCGAUGCUGGCUGUGAGUGUGCCUGCCUGGGGUGGGCUCACCUUUCCUCUCCUGGGAUCAGCUUCUCCCAGAAUAUCAGGCCACCCUGAAUCCUGCCCACCUGCCUCUUCUUUGUCACCAGAAACUCUCCAGUGUGGGGAGGGGUGUAGGUCUUGUUGCUCAAGCCAGAGACACUGGAGUCGGGUAGAAUUGCAGAGCUUAGGUGCAUUGCCCUGGGGCUGGGCAAGCGGUCAGACCUCAGGAGAGACUUUUCUCCCCACCCAGUCAUUGAAGAUUUGACUCACAAGACAGGGAACUUCAAACAGUUCAACAUCUUCUGUCAUAUGCUGGAGUCAGCCCUCACUCAGGUAGGGCCCGGGUUGGCGGGUUGGGGUGGGAGGGGGGUUCUG